rnacentral:tRNA from 1 species
GCCUUGGUGGUGGAAUGGUAGACACGCGAGACUCAAAAUCUCGUGCUCACAAGCGUGGAGGUUCGAGUCCUCUCCGAGGCA